CUCCGUCCAUAUCGCGCCCAGAGAAAAAAGACGGGCGUUCGCAACAACGCCGUGAUGACGUCACACGUUUUGCAACGUCACAUCCGCUUCCGUAUCAACGACACACAAAUAAAACAACACUGUACAGUGAGUAAGGGCGCAAUAAAAAUAGGAUGCUCAACAAUAACAAUACAAAUGUUUGUAAAAUGCGCACUCCGUACACAUAAUUAGAAUGUUUUCUUACAAAAUAUAUAUAUAUAUAUAUAUGACAUUACGUCUUUGCUACCUGCCGACUGCGCCUUGAACCGGCUGGUGGAGGGCGGCGUAACAUUGUGUGACAGUUCGAAAAAUGCUAAUGGAGCACUUUUAUCUCAUUGAUAAUUGUUAUAAGAUGAAAAGGAGGACAUCGUAAUUACCCCCUGCUGCCUAUAAAGUGAAGGAACGAGGAGGAGGAAAUACAGGCUGAAAGCAGAGCUGUUACGAAUCGUUCAAACGGCGAAAAAGGAUCAACGUUUCUUCAGAGUUCCUUGAGAGCAGGGGUCCCCAAAUUACGGAUCCGGCCAGUCAGUGUCCAAAUUCCAGCCCGCAGGAAGUCCCAAGUUAAAAAAUAAUAUAUCUUUUUAUUAUUAUUUUUUAAAAUCUGUCCUUUCUAAUCCAUUUUCUACCGCAUGUUACUCUGUGUCUCCUCGCCGCUCAGGCAAAUCAUAUUGUCUAGAAAUGAAUUUUCCCAUCGAUAACGAGACAUCAGCAGCGGCAAG